CCUACGGGUGGCAGCAGUGGGGAAUAUUGGACAAUGGGCGAAAGCCUGAUCCAGCCAUGCCGCGUGUGUGAAGAAGGCCUUCGGGUUGUAAAGCACUUUCAGUGGGGAAGAAAGCCUUGGGGCUAAUACCCUCGAGGAAGGACAUCACCCACAGAAGAAGCACCGGCUAACUCCGUGCCAGCAGCCGCGGUAAUACGGAGGGUGCGAGCGUUAAUCGGAAUUACUGGGCAUAAAGCGCGCGUAGGCGGUCUGAUAAGCCGGUUGUGAAAGCCCCGGGCUCAACCUGGGAACGGCAUCCGGAACUGUCAGGCUAGAGUGCAGGAGAGGAAGGUAGAAUUCCCGGUGUAGCGGUGAAAUGCGUAGAGAUCGGGAGGAAUACCAGUGGCGAAGGCGGCCUUCUGGACUGACACUGACGCUGAGGUGCGAAAGCGUGGGUAGCAAACAGGAUUAGAUACCCUUGUAGUC
rnacentral:rRNA from 1 species